ensembl:lncRNA
GAUUUGCACACUUAUUGUUUAUGUUUAUAAACAUCAAAUACCCGGCAAGGAAAAAUCAAAGAGAAAAUAUUUGUGUUAGUAAAGCUGCUUUAUCUAAAUCAUUAAAAAAUAAAUACAGAAGCUGUACUUUAGAAGUGGAUUAAUGAGAUUUAUUUUAACUUUUUAAAAGUUUAAAUGAGGUUAUUUCUAGAAUAAUUUAGUGACACUAUUAUUUUUUAGGGCAUCAAAAAAAUUUGACCUUAAACAAAAAGAAAGGCGAACUUGAUACUCUGCCUGCUGAGAUCGCUACAGCUAGAAAACCUAUCUAUAAAGUGCCAUAUACUGCUACCGGAAAAUCUCUACCCCACCCAUACUUUUGAGAAUAAAUUAAUUCUGGGCAAAAUAAAUAACAUGAGCAAAUUCGUCAAGACAGCAAUGAAAUUGCAAGAGUGGAAAUAACACUGCCUUGAGUAGAUGCUGCUCAUUGAACAAUAAUGAGAAGGAUCCUCAAUAAACAGGGUAGACCCAGAUCAUGGACGUAGUAAAAAAAAAAGUACAACUUACGUGGCAAGAAGAAAUCAUCAUUUGAGUGAGCAUAAAGUAUCAGUCAAGAGAAAAUAAAUGGAGGAAUUCUUCACUAAUUACUGAUUCUCUGAAACUGUCCCAGAGGUAAUAUAAAAAUAAUGUGUAUUAAUAACUUUUGUGAGGGUUUUAGAGAGAAUAUAUGCAGAAAUGAAUAGGAGAAUUGUUGUUGCAAGUUGCCAAUAAUUGGAUUGUGAGCAAUGCAAAUUUUAUACUUCUCUCUAGAAUUAUUUUUCCAAUGUAAAUUCAGCAUAGCAGUCUGAUCCUAUGAAUGGUGAUUGCUGGACCCAAUCCAACUUCUCAGUUUGCUUCUGUGGACUAUCUAGAUAGCAGUGAAUAUAAUUUAUACAUUAAUUAUGUGAUCAUUUGAUUAAAUGAGCUAAUAUAUGUGCUAAAUCAGUGCUUUUCAAGCCUAUCUACAAAAUAGGAUUCACCUGGGGUGCUUUAAAAGCUACCAGUUCUCUGCCCCAGCCCCAGACCAAUUAAACCAGAUUCUCCUUAGGUGAUUAAACUGUGCAGCCAGAGUUGAGCACCAUGAUACUUAUUAUUUGAUGAUAUAAGGGAAAUCAACUGAUACCUCAGCCCAUAUACAAAUGGUUGUGGCUGAUUUUUUUUUUAAUCCAGGUCUUGUAACUACUGGCCUAGUGGGGCCCAAUAAAUAAAUUCAGUCUAUAUUGGGUUCACUUAAAUGUUUCUUCUCCCAGACCACCUCGUUCAUGGCAAUUAUGACUUCCUCUCCAAGCACUCCCCAACAGAAUUUCCUGUGGUAAUGGAAAUGUUCUAUAUCUGUGCCUUCCAAUAUGGGAGCUAUGAGCCAUAUGCAGCUAUUGAGCUCUUAAAAUGUGGUUAGUAUAUUUUAAUUAGUUUAAAUCUAAAUAGCAAUAUAUGGUUUGUGGUUCCUAUACCGGACAGCACAACUCAAGAAUUAUCAGUGAUCCAGCAACCAAUCAGGACCUGGGAAGGCAGUGAGCUAUCCAGAAGGACAUAUAGGAAACCUUUUUACUGAUUAAUGACCAGUACAACUAAAUAUAUCUCCCAAGAGAAGUAGGAGCAGGAGUAGUAUUUCAGCAGAGCUGUUGGAUAAGAUGUAAUGCUUCUUAGGAUAGCAGGAUGGCCCUUAAUAUUGAGCAGACGAUGUCAGUUUCAGCCACGGACUCUGAAUAGCUCAAAUUUGGCUAGGAUUAGUGGGCAAAAGUGAGUAGGCUACAGCCUUUGGAAGGCUUUGGUUGCCUUCAAAGAUAAGGCAAGUCUCAUCCAUUCUUGAGGAGGUCAGAUAAUUAGUAGUCAGGGCACAGUUAUAAGAAUGAAUAUCUAAUGAUCACUAGAAAUUCAAUAAUUCCUUUGGUUUUAUUGUGAUUCACUCAAAACCUAAAAACUUUUAGAGAUCAUAUUAAUGCUUUAAGUAAACUGAAAACGGCACAGUAUUUCUCUAGACUUCUGAGUACAUUUUUUACUAUGGUUGUUCUAAAAAUGGUACUGCUAAAGAGAGAUCUGGACUACCUAAUCCAAAGUUUAAUGUGAGGUCUGCUUUGUUAUGUAAAUUAGAAUAUCAUCUUUAUAAACAAGCUCUGUCCAGAAGGUAGUAGAAUAAUUUUUUGUUCAUAAAAAUUAUGUGGGGGCUUCCCUGGUGGUGUGGUGGUUGGGACGCGUGUUCGUGCCCCGGUCCGGGAGGGUCCCACGUGCCGCGGAGCGGCUGGGCCCGUGAGCUGCGGCUGCUGGGCCUGCGCCUCUGGAGCCUGUGCUCCGCGGCGGGAGAGGCCACAACGGUGGGAGGCCCGCGUAUCGC